AAUGUAUUAAAAAAGUAGUAAAAAUAAGUAAAAAUGGGCAACGUCGUCGGUCUAACAAAAUUCCAAAAGGAGUGUCUAGGUCGAAGGGUGAGAAGGGUUGGGUGAUGGGGGGGGAGUGCACAUAAAAAGUAACAGCAUUUUUGCCUAGCAGACAACUGCACAGUGGGACAGACAGACAGACGAAGGCAGAUGAAGAGCAAGACUGCGAAAGCAUGAAGCAACAUUAUUCAAAAGAAAGCCAAGUUAAGGCAUGCCGAGCACACACACUUACACACAUAGAAAUGACUAGCUAGAGAGUGAGAGAAUGAGUAAGAGAGAGCGAGAAAGACAGACAAAAGCAGCAUAAUGCAGCGACAGCAGAGACAGCAAGGGAGAGAAGGUGGAGGAGGAAGAGGAGUUGGAGAGCGGCACAGUUACAACUACAAUGCUGGAUCGGACCAAGUAUUAAACAUCACAGGGCAGCAGCAGCAGCAACACUAGCAAUAGCAACAACAACAACAACAGCGACGCCAGCAGCGCCAGCAACAACAAUUACAACUACAACAACAAGCACAUGCCGACAUUCUUUCAUUCGUACAACGACCUCGACUUUGAUUUGCAGUUUUAGCAAGCAAAGAAUUUGCAAGUGAGCGAACGAGAGCGACGAGAGCAGCCAAAGCAAAUUGUAAAGAGCACAGCAAAGUGGCCCACAAAGAGAACAGCAAAAAGAAAUGGGCAGCCGACAAACGGCCUCUAGACGACCUACACGCGUGAGCAACAAAACACGAGGAGAGCGCGAGAGCCAGACCGAGAGCCAGAGCGAGAGAGAGCGAGUGUGAACGAAACCAUUUUAGCUUUCGUCUCGUGUCGUCGUUUUGCAUCGUGUCUUGUCAUCGGGUGGACUCUGCUGCUGUCUCUGCCGCUGCCGCUGCCUCUGUCGCUGCUUUACUAUAUUGCUGCUGCUGCUGCUGCUGGCUGGAAGCUUCGCAAUGUCGUUGGCUCGCCAACUUCAUUCAUUCGUGCUACGCGUCUCGUCUGUGCCGGUCGUCAAACGCUGCUUUUUGCUUUUGACUUUGUUCAAUUGUCAAUUUGCCCCUCAGCCAUAUAUUUACUUUCUCACACUAUUAACACCCACACACAUACACACACACACACAGAGAGUGGAGAACUGUUGGUGCUAAGAAAGAAAGAAAGACAAAGCAGUGCUAAAAGUGCUAAAUCAAAAGUGAGCAACAACAAUAAUAUAAUAUUAACUGUAACAACUACAAGUACAAAGUAUACAUACAUAUACAUAUAAACAACAAGAAAACAAGUCAAAAAGCCGACGACGCCUGUCUGUGUGUGCUAAAAGUCGCCAAAAAGUUAACGACAACACACGUUACCCACACAAUAAAAAAAGCUUGACUAUCGCACACUCACACACACACACACAGACGCAGAGAGACAACUGAGGCCGGCCAGACAACUCACACAUACACUCACACAGGCAAACGCAUAGAGACGCACACACAAGUGUAAAGGCGACUUCAGCUAGCAGUUAGCAGCUACAGUUAUCAAAUGUGGCUGCUGCCGGCCUGUCAACUCGCCCAGACAGACACAGAGACGCAAAGAGUGCGGCCACAGUGACAGCGACAGCGACGGCGAGAGAGAGCGAGGCAGAUUAAAGAGUAAGAGAGGUAGAGCUGAGCAAGCGAGGGGCGCUUGUAUUUAUGUACAUAAUUCAUACGAGAGUAUGUGCAAUGUUUGUGCUUGACUUGACGACUUGGCGACUUUGGCGUAUCAGCUAACCGGAUGUUGAUUUGUUGGCCAUGCCACAAACACAACGCAACAACGCAACACACGGCAACCAUCUUAAAAGGCAAUGCAGCGUCAUAAAAAAAUGGCAUUUGGAACAUCCUUAAAAGAUGAAAAAGAAUGCCAAAUGACGAGAGAUAAAAGCCGAUGCCUCGGACAAUGCAACAAAAUGUUGAAUGCAUCUGAAAAUCAACAGUGCAACAUUUAGAACAAAGUUACCGCCUCGAUGCUUUCCCAAGACUCUCUCUCUUUCUUCACUUCUAUAUACUGAUAAACUAAAGUGUAUAAAGAAAAACAUCGGUGGAACUGAAAGUCUCAUCGCAAACUGUUUACCUAAGCUGAUGUCGCAUUUUUCACCCCAUAUUUGAGGCAAUACGGAAAAUUUAUGCCAAGUGCCUUGGGAUGCGGUGAAGGAGGAGGAGCACACACUUCCGGCAGGACUAACAAAGCGUCAUGGCUGACUUGACUUGACUUGACUUGGCUAAAACUUGACUGCGAGGCUCCAAAAAGUGAACGCAACUCGCAACUUGUGACGACGACUCUAGGAUGGAGGAUGGAGGAUGGAGGCAGGAGCUGCACCACUCGAGGAGGCGCCUCCUGAUGUCUCAGGCAACUGGAGAUGGGAAACGGAACGGAAACGGACUCAAUAGGCAUGCACCACCAAUAAUAAUAAUCAGCUGUGUCAGCCGCAAACUUGAUGCUUUGCAGCUUGUCCUCGGGGGAGGCAUAAAGCGACGCUCCACGUUCCAUCUUUGCGGGGCACGCAUCAUUGACGAGCCGUGGGGCACAGCUACAGUUGGAGAUCCAGAUACAUGCCGCAUCGAGUCAUUAAUUUCAAUUUUGGCCAGAGCACGAGCGAGCAACAGCAGCAGCAGCAGCCUGAUAUGAUUGAAGGGUUCUGCUCUUAGUUGUUCAGAGACAAAAAUUAUUUAUUUACAAGCAUUUCGGGUUUGCGUGCCACAGCAGCAGCAGGAGAAGGAACAACUUCAACCACGUUCCGAAGCAGAGAGAGCCUUGCAGUCAUUUUGGCCAAAUAAACAAUAAAUUAAAUUGCCACAUUUGAUUGCAGGCUGCCAGAGGGGAAAGAAGGAAUGGGAGGAGAACGGGAAGGAGAAGGAGCACAGCCUACGUCAAAAUUGUGGAGGCCAAGCAAAGUAUUUGAUAUGCCCCAUGUGGCAUGCGUCAGUUGCCUAAAUGACUAAAUGUAUGGCUAUACAUUAUGCAGGCUGCUCUGCUCUGCUCUGCCACAGUCAUAACAUAAAUUUACUCUCCCUCCCCCCGCAGUUGUUGUCUCUUCUUUUCUCAUUCCUACUCAAAGUUACGAUCGUUAUUACGCAUUUAUUUAAAAAUAUCAUCAAAAAGAAAUGCAAUCGAAUGCGAAUGCGAAUGCGACUGCGAAUUUCGAAUUCAAUUGUGAAUCUCGUAUUCGAAUAUGUAGGAAAACCGCAGCCUGAGGCCAGCACUCGACGUGCCUCGCAAGAUUUAUGGGGCGAAAGGACAUUUUUCAUGCUGCGAAAUGCAAAACGCACAAAACGUUCAUUGAAAACACAUUUCCAGAAGCCAGCAGCAGAAGCAGCAGCAGCCAAAUAGCUGGCAGCAAACAUAGAUUCGAAUUGGGAAAUUCAAUAAAGCAUUACGUAAUAUUGCCAAGUUACACACACACAUGUAGUCGCACACACUCUUGUAAUGCAAGGCUAGCCAUGUGAGUGCAAUAAUUUACAACAUUUUAAUCGAAUUAGAUGCAGCCAGAGACAGCUUUAGAGAGGACCCAAAGAGGGAGACAGAAAGGCGGCAGCUUGAGUGAGCGGCCAAAAAGCAAAAUGCAUUUUAAGUGUUGCAAGUGGUGAGAGGAAGGGAAGGGAUGAUAAGGGAAGGCAAGUCAGGCAACUGGCAUUUGCUGCAAGUGCCAGCGGCUAAAGCCAUAAGACAAAAAGAAAUUAUACAAACACACACACACACAGACAGUUGGACACACUCUGCGCAAAAAAGAAGCAGCGAAGCGAUGCGAUUUUAUUUUGAACAUGUGCCAACAAAUGUUUGUUGCCAUUAUUCUUGUUAUUGCUGCAACUUAUUGUUGUUGCUGUUGCUUGCUGCUAGCGUUGCCAUUGUUUUAUUGUUGGCUUAACUUUUGACUAGCUAAACUUGUGCCACGCCCUGCGAAAUUUAAUAAAACUCCUUUUAGCUAAAAUAACAGCCCGAACAAUUUAAUGUUGCACGUUUUUAGAGUUUUUUAAUGCAUUUUCUAUGUAUUAUGAAAUAGUAAUUUGCUUGCUUAUAUAAAUGUAACAUAAGUGGAAGCAACUCGAUAGAAACUAAAUUAUCGGUUGGCAUUAGUAAGUCGAUAGGCACUAAGCCAUCGAUAUCAGCAAUCGAUAGAAGUAGUAGCGAAGACAGUCGUCAGUAAAUAC